GGAGACUCUAAGACUUCUGAAGAGUUUCUUGCUUCUUUCCUGUGGGGCAGUGACUCCACUUCCCAGCAGUAAUGGAAUAUCCUGAAUUAGCUACAUUAAUGUUAGAACCAUUUGGACCUCACCCAGGACUUCAACUACAUUAUGAAGGCACAAGGCAAAUACCCAUCUCUGUACACCCUGUGCUACUGUGUCAUGUGCUGCUCCAGGCAACUCCAAUGGAUUGGCCACCCUGGCCAAUGUGUUCUAGUAUGUUACGUUUAUGUUCCCCUGCUUUCUACAAUCCUGUUCAAAGAGUUGCUGACUUAACCACAGAGAGGAUUCCAGAACCUGAGACACAGAAUAAACUUGAGCAAUCAUAGUCCAUCCACUUCAUUGUCUCAUCAAAAACCAAAGGUCCAGUGAAGCUCUGGAACUCAACGCUGUAAAGGAGCGAAGGAGCUUCUAUACAGAGCCUGGAUGCCUGUCUCCUUAUCCUACUUCAGUGGACUUGACUGCAAUCCGGAUUAUGCUGUUUUCUAAGCAUUUAAAAUAAAAUAAAAAGUAUAA
rnacentral:lncRNA from 1 species